UGUGAGAAGAGGAGGGCGUGGCUUAAUUUGUGCAUGAGUGAUUUCAUGAGAAAUAUUUUCUCGUGUAAUAAAUGGGGCACUAAAAGAGGAUAAGGUCAAGGCACUAAGAUUGGUUGCUCAUUCAAAUUCAAACUUUGUUUUGAAUUUGAAUGGCCAACCAAUCAUCCUUAUCCACUCAUUUGGCACAUUAAAGUAGGGCAUGAGGAGGGCUUUGUGUGAGGAAAAAUUCAUGAGAACUUCCUUCUCGUGAAUUCAAAUGGGUGCAGUGGAAGUGAGGUGGCGCAGG
rnacentral:lncRNA from 1 species